rnacentral:rRNA from 1 species
AUUGAACGCUGGCGGCAUGCCUUACACAUGCAAGUCGAACGGUAACAGGUCUUCGGAUGCUGACGAGUGGCGAACGGGUGAGUAAUACAUCGGAACGUGCCCGAUCGUGGGGGAUAACGAGGCGAAAGCUUUGCUAAUACCGCAUACGAUCUACGGAUGAAAGCGGGGGAUCUUCGGACCUCGCGCGGACGGAGCGGCCGAUGGCAGAUUAGGUAGUUGGUGGGAUAAAAGCUUACCAAGCCGACGAUCUGUAGCUGGUCUGAGAGGAUGAUCAGCCACACUGGGACUGAGACACGGCCCAGACUCCUACGGGAGGCAGCAGUGGGGAAUUUUGGACAAUGGGCGAAAGCCUGAUCCAGCCAUGCCGCGUGCAGGAUGAAGGCCUUCGGGUUGUAAACUGCUUUUGUACGGAAAGAAAAGCCUCUUUCUAAUAAAGAGGGGUCAUGACGGUACCGUAAGAAUAAGCACCGGCUAACUACGUG